GAGGAGGGAAGAGGAGAGCCAAAACCCCGACCGACCAAAACCAUACUCCCGACGAGUCCAUCGCAAGAAGCGCUGUAGUAUCACAAGAAAGAAAGAUCGGAAGAGGAGAGAAUAAUUAGUGAGGCAAAGAGGGUAUUAUCUUCGGAUUUGAUUGCAGAUUUCUUUGCAAGACCGUCUCAAGAUCCCGCUGUAAUAUCCAGACCUUCUUUUGUUGUGUAAUUUUUUUUCCCUGGAUUCUUUUUUAUUUUCUUUCUCUUUGCUCUAAGCAAGUCGUUCGAUCUUUCCGGUUUCUGCUAUCGGUGGGUUUUCUUGAGAACCGAUCUUGAGCAAUACUUUUCUUGCAAGAUGGACCGUGGCCUGAACUGGGGAAUUUUUGGGGUUGAUCGUCGGUUAGGGUUUCGAAGAGAUUGGAAUUGAGAGGUGGAUACUACGGUGGAGGUGCCGGCAAGAUCGUAGAAAUUUUAUCGACAACUAUAUCUACGUCUUAAUUAUUCACCCGACUUGGUUCAAUUUGGUAGAAAAUACUGAUCGUGCUUGAAACAUUGGAGGAGAAUACCAAGGAGGUGAUGGUGAUGAUGAUGAUGAUAACAUAGAUGAUGACAUUCCAAUUCCAAGGAGGUGUCUGAACGUUUAUCAUUUCCUGACAAUUUGUGCUGCUCUCUUUUAAACUAAGCGAGCUCCAUAUUUGCCCUGCAUAUUUUCUUUUUCUUUUGUUCCUGCAGUUUAUUGCAGCGAACGAAUGAUGUAAUGAAUCAGCUUAAAUUGACUCUGGAGAGAAUGCACAAACUCAUUUGACA